rnacentral:rRNA from 1 species
UACUCGAGUGGCGAACGGGUGAGUAACACGUGGGUGAUCUGCCCUGCACUUCGGGAUAAGCUUGGGAAACUGGGUCUAAUACCGGAUAGGACCGCAUUUUGGAUGGUGUGGUGGAAAGUUUUUUCGGUGUGGGAUGAGCUCGCGGCCUAUCAGCUUGUUGGUGGGGUAAUGGCCUACCAAGGCGUCGACGGGUAGCCGGCCUGAGAGGGUGUACGGCCACAUUGGGACUGAGAUACGGCCCAG